rnacentral:tRNA from 1 species
CUUAUGUUGGCAGAUAACAUGCUAUUGAUUUAAACUCAAUCCAUGGAGCCAGUCUCCACAUAAGU